CGAAUGCUGACAUAAGUAACGAUAAAGCGGGUGAAAAGCCCGCUCGCCGGAAGACCAAGGGUUCCUGUCCAACGUUAAUCGGGGCAGGGUGAGUCGACCCCUAAGGCGAGGCCGAAAGGCGUAGUCGAUGGGAAACAGGUUAAUAUUCCUGUACUUGGUGUUACUGCGAAGGGGGGACGGAGAAGGCUAUGUUGGCCGGGCGACGGUUGUCCCGGUUUAAGCGUGUAGGCUGGUUUUCCAGGCAAAUCCGGAAAAUCAAGGCUGAGGCGUGAUGACGAGGCACUACGGUGCUGAAGCAACAAAUGCCCUGCUUCCAGGAAAAGCCUCUAAGCAUCAGGUAACAUCAAAUCGUACCCCAAACCGACACAGGUGGUCAGGUAGAGAAUACCAAGGCGCUUGAGAGAACUCGGGUGAAGGAACUAGGCAAAAUGGUGCCGUAACUUCGGGAGAAGGCACGCUGAUAUGUAGGUGAAGUCCCUCGCGGAUGGAGCUGAAAUCAGUCGAAGAUACCAGCUGGCUGCAACUGUUUAUUAAAAACACAGCACUGUGCAAACACGAAAGUGGACGUAUACGGUGUGACGCCUGCCCGGUGCCGGAAGGUUAAUUGAUGGGGUUAGCGCAAGCGAA
rnacentral:rRNA from 1 species